AUCAGGGAACGUAAACACCUACCAGAUAAAAGCAAAACCUAACCCCAGAGAAACAAGCCUGGAUAUUUACCUCCAAAGAUCUAACUCCGAAUUAGACCCAUGCCACUCACACUGGAACCUACCAGCAGCUACUGAUGUUCUGUGGGAGAAGGACCCUAUAAUUUUAAAAACUGCCUUCACAGACAGCCUAAAAAUCAGACAGGAAAUCAGACACAAGGAAGGAUAUGCGAUAACAAGAGAAUGCUGUUUUAUUGUAAGAAGAACAGGAAUCUUUAUAUGAUGGGACAUAUUGGAGAAUGUCAGGAGCUGUCAUGUGUGGGUGUUUAACGGAAAACCUCAUCCAGACUGGAGUGGAAAAGAAAAAGAUGACAAGCUGGAAACACACACACACGCACGCAUACACAAAGUGAGUGAGGGACCUUAAACUAUAAGGAUUGUCUGAGUCUUGAGCUCCAAAGCUGCACAAUCGUAGCUGGCCAUAUAUAUCUUUAGUGUGUUCCACCCAUGAAGAAAAAUGAGUUGGCUCAAACGACAUGAAACUUCAGAUGUAAGACUAGAUUUUUUUAUUAUUAUUAUUAUUAUUUUUCCCGCAGUGUUCAUUACCUUAUUGGUUUCAGUACUGAUCAUUGUUUUAUUCACUUAAACGUGAAUAAUGAGGCCUCUGGUGUAGCAAGCGAAA